rnacentral:sRNA from 1 species
GUUUCCGGGAAGAUGGCGGCUGUCGAAGCGGCUGCAGAGCCGGUAACGGUGGUGGCGGCUGUUGGGCCAAAGGCGAAAGACGAAGAGGAGGAGGAAGAGGAGCCGCUGCCCCCGUGCGAGGCGGUGCGCUGGGCCCCAGUGGGGGCGGUGGCGGAGGCCCGGCCUGGGGCAACCGCGUUUUUAGAAGAGGCGACGGCCGAGGAGCCUGGCGCGGCCCCGGGCUCCCCGCCGGAUUCGCCGGGCCGGACGCUGCGGCGGCUGCGGGCAGAGCGGCGGCGGCUGGACUCGGCGCUGCUGGCGCUGUCCUCGCACUUCGCGCAGGUGCAGUUCCGCCUGCGCCAGGUGGUGCGCGGGGCGCCGGCGGAGCAGCAGCGCCUUCUGCGGGAGCUUGAAGACUUCGCCUUCCGCGGCUGCCCUCACGUCCUAGGUUACGAAGGGCCCGGCGACCCCGCCAGCGAUGAGGGCGAUGGGCUGCCCGGGGACCGGCCACGGUUGCGGGGCGAGGACCAGGUGAGUGGCUGGAGCCGGGCCGCGAGGAAUAUGGGAAUAGUGGGGUCGUGUGGGUGGCGAUCCAGACCCGGAUGAUGGUGCAUGCGGGGAGAAGCCUCCCCGACUCGGUCGGUGAGUACGUGUGUCGGAGACCAGGGGACUGGAGUGCGGGGCCGGCUGAAGGGCAAGAGGACAGAGGCCUGGGAACCUGAGGGUGAGCGGUGUGCACGGAGGAUGUGGAGAGAUGUCGGUGCGUGAUGACGUGAGUGGUAGAGGAGCGGUGAGCGAAGUGAGUCGUUGAGAGGGCAGCAGAGCAGCCAAGAGCAGUGCUGCGCCCACUCACCUUUCCCUCACGUAUCUCAGUCUUGAACACUUUGGCUGUUAGAGGACCCCGACUCUGGGGAUUGGGAAAAUUGGCAAAGGAAAGGAAAGUGAGUUGGAAUCCGUGGAAAUUUAGGUUAACUCCCUGUCCCUGCUUUCCUGAAAUCUAGGCAGUCUUUACACUUCUCUGGGUGGGAGUUUGGGUUAACAGCAGGGUCUCUUAGUAACUGAAAUAAACACAACUCUUGAUUAUAUAAAUUUCCUAAUGUUGGAAUUUUUCCUUUUUAAGAGACGGGAGGGUCUUGGUAUGUUGCCCAGGCUGGUCUCGAACUCCUGGUCUCAAGCCAUCCUCCUGCCUCAGCCUCAGGACUACAGGCGUGUGCCACCGUGCAGGCUAUAAUGUUGAAAUUUUUAAACUCUUCCUCCAUCCUGCUUAAUCAUUAGGCAUUCUGAAUGAGGUCCUCUGGUAACUGACAAGAUCGAUUCAGUGUGCCUACCCCAGAAGUAGUGAAACUAUGUAUAAGACACCAGGUAAACGUUUCCUUACAAGCUUUGCAUCUCUGGAAGUGCACAAAGUGCUGGCUUUAUUGAAAGUGUUGAGGUACACUGCCUUUUCACUUUUUUUUUUUUUUUUUUUUUUU